GCCAGCGUGCCCGGGGCGAGCGCCUGCAAGAGGUUGUUCCCCAGGUACAGCUCUUCCAGCCGCGAGAGCUUCUCGAAGGUCUUGGGGUGCAGAGAGCGGAUCUGGUUGUACUGCAGGUCCAGCCGUCUGAGCUGCCCCAGACGGUGGAAGUCGAAGGCCGUGAUGUUGGUUAUGAAGUUGCCGCCGAGGCUGUAGCUGAGUCCGGAGAGCUGGAUUCCCUGGCGCGGAUUCUCCCAGCCGAGUGGAUUCCCCAGCUGCAGGCGGGAGCCGUUCCAAGAGCUUCGCGGGGCGCGGCUUGGCAGCAGAGCCCCGGCUGCUCGGCCCCCGCAGACGGCACCUUCUCGCUCGCGGUCCCGGACGGGGAGGGCGGCUCCAGUGCAAUAGCUCGGGGAGCACGCGGGCUGCGUCCGGAAGGGACCCAAGUCUGCGAGCGGAGAGCAAACGGGGCGGAAAUUCGUUCUUCCCACACUCUGCCCGCGGGGACGCAGGCGGAGAAAGAGGAGACGGCAGAGGGAGGACAGACCCCGGCAGGGGGAGGAGGAAACACUAAGUGGCUCCGCGUCUGGUCAGCCCGGGCCCGGGAUGCCAAGUGCCACCCUGCGGGAAGUUUGGGCAGCACGGAGUCCGCCAGCAUUCUACAGGAAGUUUGGGGGAGCACAAGGUUGCCUGCAGAAGGCCAUCAGAAGGGGGUAGGUGAACCCAGUCUGACAGUUGCUGCUUGGGUUUUGACGUCGUUGGACUAGUAGCUGAGGAGAGGCACCACCCCCUUUUAGGUGUCUGAAGGGAGUAUUUACUCCAUCCUGCUGUGGGCUAGAACAUGAAGAAAUCACAGAACUGGUUCUGCCAACAUGAAAGUGUCUCUGCCACAUUUUGGUGAUUCAGUCGCAUUAACUCUCCUACAGUAAUAGAGCCCCUGGGGUAGGCUCUGCUCGUGUGCACAUACAUAAUAACCUUCACAGAUCCUAAGGUAAACGUUCCUUGCAGGGCCCUCCUGCUUUACGCCUGGACUUGCAGUGAUCUUCAAAGUCUUUAGGCCCAAAAAUGUUCAGGCCUGGCUCAGUUGGGGAAGCAUUAUUAUUUAUUAUCUCUAGGGAAUGGAGCAUUUAAUCAACGGCUCCUUUGGGAUCAGCCCCUGCUGAGAAUGAGAAUACACAAGGAGGAGUUGUUAAUUAUUAAUUAUUGUUUCUUUAUAUAAACCAUCUUGCUAAAAAAUAAGGGCCCUUCCCCUAUCCAAGGUGUUGAGAAAACGUAAGUUUUGAGGACGUACUCUGCAACAAUGUGGAAAAUUAAAGGAAAGAUACAGAUCCUCACCUGAAGACAAUGACAAUCUAGUGGGAAGGGCAAUGAAUGCAUUGAAAGGUUAGAUAAUAAUAUAAGGCAGUAAUAGAGAACACCACAAAAACAAAAAUUAUUUUUUUUGAGGUGGGAUCUCACUCUGUUGCCCAGGCUGGAGUGCAGUGGCAUAAUCUCCGUUCAAUGCAGCCAUGACCUCCAGGGCUCAAGUGAUCUGCCCACCUCAGCUUCCCUAAUAGCUGGGACUAACAGGCCCUUGUCACAAUGACCAGCUAAUUUUUGUAUUUUUUAUAAAGGGGGAGUUUUGCCAUGUUGCCAGGCUGGCAUCGAACUCCUGGUCUCAAGCGAUCCUCCCACCUUGGCCUCCCAAAGUGCUAGGAUUACAGGUAUGAGCCACACCACACAGGGUGACAAAUGAUUUUUAAUAAUUCUAUGUUUCACAGUAAUUGCCCCAUUUAGCAAUUAAUAUAGUCAAGUGAUAGAGGGAAGUUCUGAAUUUAGAGAAAGAUGAGAUCGUUGGCAGGGUAGUCAGUGGUGACUUCGUGGGUGAGCAGGGACCUUGGCUUUGCAGGGAGGUGAGUCAAUGAUAAUUCCAGGAGAUGAGCGCUGAGGGGUGGAGCUGUGAUAGUCCUGAGGAGCAGCACCUGGCCUGAGAGUGUGAGGAAGGCGUCUAGAAGAGGGGAAACCUGUGCUGAGUUUGAGGGGUGAGUGGUAUUACCUAGAGGAAGGUGAGCAGACGCUCAAGGAGGAGAAGCCUGGGGACACAUGCAAGGAGGGAUUUAGAAACCUCCACAUCUUCUGUCUGCAUAUUUAGGGUGAGCUUUAUUAACUUAUUCUUUAACAGUAUCAUACACCCUAGCUUAUACAGUGACUUGAAAUAAAUAUUCCUUUAUUCCCCUUUAAGGAUUUCAGCAGGUAGCUGAUGUAAUCAUAUUUGCACUACAACCUCAAGAGGAAUCUCUGCCUAAAUAAACAAACCCAAGAAGAGAAAAACGUUCCACUGAAGGGUAGGAAAUGGCAGAAAAUUUGGAACCGGGGCUCAGAAUCGCAUGCUUCCCGGGAUGGUGCACCUUUCUCUUCUGACUGUCCAGUGAGGGAAG
rnacentral:lncRNA from 1 species